AGAGAUGCCCCAAAAUAUCGAUAUAAAGAUGUAUCCACUUUUGGUAGCAGACACCAGGCAUUAUUUAUAUUUUAGGUUGGAAGAUAGCAUAUGUCGAAUAUGUUAUUUCAAGUAUAGCAUUUCUGAAGUAUAUUAUUUGAAAAAAGUCUCAUCGGGAGGGAAAUCCGAAAGUAUUAGGUUGCGACUCCAAAGCUGGUUGGAAAUGCCACCUGAUGUGAUAAGUGAAUAACCACAGCCAGAUGCACCAAAGCGCUUGAAUAAAGCAUCUUCUUGGAGUAGAUGGACCUGAAAA
rnacentral:lncRNA from 1 species